rnacentral:rRNA from 2 species
UUGCGCUGAUUACGUCCCUGCCCUUUGUACACACCGCCCGUCGCUACUACCGAUUGAAUGGUUUAGCAAGGUCCUCGGAUUGAUGCCAUUGUAGUUGCUUCGGCAGCUCGACCGGUGUUGAAAAGACGACCGAACUUGAUCAUUUAGAGGAAGUAA